GAUGAAUAUGAAAAUAUUAUAUUACUAUAAUAAUAAUCCAAUCUUUUCAGUUUUCAUAAGACUAUUUAAGAUGCAAAAAUUACAAAUACACUUUUGACGACUUUCAAGUUUUGACCCGCUUCAUUUUAACGAAUUUUAGUUACCUUUUUACCUGUCAGAGAUGAUGCAAAAUAACCACCGCUAUGUUCAAUUGCUAGAAGGCAUAUUUAUGUGAUAUUAACAGUUGAUAUGAAGCUUGCAUAGCCUACAGGCCAAAUCCACUCCCUCUCUUACACAUUUAUGAAAUACAAAAUACGUAAGGUCAAUGUAAUAAAUGAAGUUUAGAGAUGAGAUUCGUAGCUUUGAGUAAAAAGCCAAUGUCGUCCCUCUGAGGUUUGGCCAGUUU
rnacentral:lncRNA from 1 species